rnacentral:rRNA from 1 species
GUCGAGCGGACAGAUGGGAGCUUGCUCCCUGAUGUUAGCGGCGGACGGGUGAGUAACACGUGGGUAACCUGCCUGUAAGACUGGGAUAACUCCGGGAAACCGGGGCUAAUACCGGAUGGUUGUUUGAACCGCAUGGUUCAAACAUAAAAGGUGGCUUCGGCUACCACUUACAGAUGGACCCGCGGCGCAUUAGCUAGUUGGUGAGGUAACGGCUCACCAAGGCAACGAUGCGUAGCCGACCUGAGAGGGUGAUCGGCCACACUGGGACUGAGACACGGCCCAGACUCCUACGGGAGGCAGCAGUAGGGAAUCUUCCGCAAUGGACGAAAGUCUGACGGAGCAACGCCGCGUGAGUGAUGAAGGUUUUCGGAUCGUAAAGCUCUGUUGUUAGGGAAGAACAAGUACCGUUCGAAUAGGGCGGUACCUUGACGGUACCUAACCAGAAAGCCACGGCUAACUACGUGCCAGCAGCCGCGGUAAUACGUAGGUGGCAAGCGUUGUCCGGAAUUAUUGGGCGUAAAGGGCUCGCAGGCGGUUUCUUAAGUCUGAUGUGAAAGCCCCCGGCUCAACCGGGGAGGGUCAUUGGAAACUGGGGAACUUGAGUGCAGAAGAGGAGAGUGGAAUUCCACGUGUAGCGGUGAAAUGCGUAGAGAUGUGGAGGAACACCAGUGGCGAAGGCGACUCUCUGGUCUGUAACUGACGCUGAGGAGCG